rnacentral:rRNA from 1 species
GACGAACGCUGGCGGCGUGCUUAACACAUGCAAGUCGAACGCUGAAGCUUGGUGCUUGCACUGGGUGGAUGAGUGGCGAACGGGUGAGUAAUACGUGAGUAACCUGCCCUUGACUCUGGGAUAAGCCUGGGAAACUGGGUCUAAUACUGGAUACGACAUGUCACCGCAUGGUGGUGUGUGGAAAGGGUUUUACUGGUUUUGGAUGGGCUCACGGCCUAUCAGCUUGUUGGUGGGGUAAUGGCUCACCAAGGCGACGACGGGUAGCCGGCCUGAGAGGGUGACGGCCCACACGGGGACGAGGCAACGCCCCAAAUUCUUACGGAGGGCAGCGGUGGGAAUAAUGGCACAAGGGGCGAAGGCCUAUUGAGGCAAGGCGGGUGGGGGGAUACGGGCCUUGGGUUGGUAACCUCUUUCAGCACGGAAGAAGCGAAAGUGACGGUACGUGCAGAAGAAGCGCCGGCUAACUACGUG